AUGUUAGAACAAAACCUUGCUAUAUUGUGCUGGAAUGUUCGUGGUCUAAACUGUCCAGAUCGCCAAUCCGUCGUCCAUGAAACAAUUGCUGCCUCCUCCUGCCAUCUAGUUUGCAUUCAGGAGUCCAAACUCCAGACCAUCGACUCUCAUGUGGCUGCUUACCUGGGAGGAUACCGCCUCAAGAACUUCGCACACAGACCGGCGGAUGGAACUAGAGGUGGAAUCUUACUGUUGUGGGACGACUCUGUGGUAACCAUCUCAAGUGUUCAGUAUGGCACGUACUUUCUUUCUGCUACGGUUGCUCUCAACAAUGCUUCAGAUACAAAGACUUUCAAGUUAACCACGGUCUAUGGACCUACCAGAAGCAUCCAUAAAGACGACUUCUUCCUCGAGCUUACCUGCCAGAAGCCGCCUGAUGGAACAAAAUGGCUUGUCAAUGGAGACUUUAAUAAAAUAUACCGUGCUAGAGACAAAAACCGAGCUAAUGUUGAUCGUAGCCGUCUUGUGCGAUUUCGAAACACUCUUGCAAAUUGCAGACUAAAAGAGAUUCAUCUUCAGAACCGGAAGUUCACUUGGAGCAACGAGCGAUCUAAUCCAACAUUGUGUAAACUAGACGGAUUCUUCUGCAACGAUAACUGGGAUAUCGAGUUCGGCUCCCAUAUUCUACACGCUUUAUCAUCUUCGCUCUCUGACCACUGCCCGUUACUGCUGGCUAAUGAUGAUGGCCCGCGGAAACCCAAAACCUUCCGCUUCGAGAACUACUGGACUAAGAUGCCCGGAUUCAAAAAGGUUGUCGCUGAUGCUUGGGCUGAGGACUCCAUUCAUGUGGAGCCAUACCAAAGGCUUUUCCACAUGCUAAAGACUACAGCUGCUAGACUUCGCUCCUGGAGCAAGUCUCUUUUCUCAAACACAAAAAUCCAGCUUCGCAUGGCUCUCGAGGUGAUCCUUCGUCUCGAUUUGGCCCAGGAACAUAGAGAACUCUCCCAUGAUGAAUGGGAUAUUCGAAGAAGGUUAAAGAGGAAGAUCAUUGGGUGGGCUGUUUUGGAAAAAUCAAGAAAGAGGCAAAAUUCGAGGAUAACUAAUCUGAAAGAGGGAGAUGCU
rnacentral:rRNA from 1 species